GGGUUGUGAGGUUAAGCGACUAAGCGUACACGGUGGAUGCCCUGGCAGUCAGAGGCGAUGAAGGGCGUGCUAAUCUGCGAUAAGCGCCGGUAAGGUGAUAUGAACCGUUAUAACCGGCGAUACCCGAAUGGGGAAACCCAGUGUGAUUCGUCACACUAUCAUUAACUGAAUCCAUAGGUUAAUGAGGCGAACCGGGGGAACUGAAACAUCUAAGUACCCCGAGGAAAAGAAAUCAACCGAGAUUCCCCCAGUAGCGGCGAGCGAACGGGGAGGAGCCCAGAGCCUGAAUCAGCAUGUGUGUUAGUGGAAGCGUCUGGAAAGGCGCGCGAUACAGGGUGACAGCCCCGUACACAAAAGCGCAUGUGCUGUGAGCUCGAUGAGUAGGGCGGGACACGUGGUAUCCUGUCUGAAUAUGGGGGGACCAUCCUCCAAGGCUAAAUACUCCUGACUGACCGAUAGUGAACCAGUACCGUGAGGGAAAGGCGAAAAGAACCCCGGCGAGGGGAGUGAAAAAGAACCUGAAACCGUGUACGUACAAGCAGUGGGAGCCCCACCACUAAGCCAGUGGUGAACUCCACAUACGCAUCCUUUGCUGAGGAUACGGUUAACG
rnacentral:rRNA from 1 species